rnacentral:rRNA from 1 species
UACGUAGGGGGCAAGCGUUGUUCGGAUUCAUUGGGCGUAAAGGGCGCGUAGGCGGCACUGUUAGUCAGGCGUGAAAUUCCUGGGCUCAACCUGGGGACUGCGCUUGAUACGGCAGAGCUUGAGGAUGGAAGAGGGUCGCGGAAUUCCCAGUGUAGAGGUGAAAUUCGUAGAUAUUGGGAAGAACACCGGUGGCGAAGGCGGCGACCUGGUCCAUUACUGACGCUGAGGCGCGACAGCGUGGGGAGCAAACAGG